rnacentral:rRNA from 1 species
UACCAGCACCCCGAGUGGUCGGGACGAUUAUUGGGCCUAAAGCAUCCGUAGCCGGUCUUGCAAGUCUUCCGUUAAAUCCAGCUGCUUAACAGAUGGGCUGCGGAAGAUACUACAAGACUAGGAGGUGGGAGAGGCAAGCGGUACUCAGUGGGUAGGGGUAAAAUCCUCUGAUCCAUUGAAGACCACCAGUGGCGAAGGCGGCUUGCCAGAACGCACUCGACGGUGAGGGAUGAAAGCUGGGGGAGCAAACCGG